CCUUUGUUUUUCAAUGACCACCAUGGCAAGAUGCUUAUAGUUAAAGGGCAUUUUACAUUUUUUUAUGAUGUAACAGAGAUUCUGAAAACAAUAACUGGAAAGGUUAAUUCUACAAACUAAAACCUAAAAUCUAAUGGAAGAUAGAACUAAAGAUUUCUCAGCAGCCAAUGAAAGUGAAAAGUCGAUCAAAAGAAUUUUUUGAAAAGAGAAGUUCCAACAGGAGCAAACAUUCUAAGAUUCUGAAACAGAGCUUUCAAGCUUGAAUUCAUGGCCACCGACUUUUCCAAAUCGACCCGUAACUUUAGUAGGAGUAGCUAGACUCGCGACACGUGUCAACCAUGGCAUGAAAAUCGUGAGCCUCAAGGAGCUAGAACAAAUAUUAGUAAUCUCUCUGUAAGGACAUACUUGUUGUGCUUGUAACUUUUAUGGUAGACACAGGCCAACUACCAUGUGGCGUGGCCCAUGUGAAGUGCUACCAAGUCAGAUUGAUGAAGGGCCUAAAUGCAUUGGAACCUCCAGCUUCAAUGGUCUUGUCUGGUUUACUUGACCAUUGCCCAUAUUUCCAAGUGGGUGGACAAUAUCAAGUUUCGUCAUGGCCCUAUUCGCUACUAUACUUGAUGCAACUCCAAUUUAAUCGACAGGUAUGGUUUGAGUUAGGUGCUGAGCAGUGCAUAUAAAAAUGUUGAAUAUGAAAAGUAAAUGACGUUCAUUAUUUGAAUAUUUGAAGCAAUAACCUGAGGUUUAACAUUAACAAGGGGUGCAAAAAGCAUUGUUCAUAGGUAAUUCAAAAAUUAAUCAUUGUUCUGUCAAAAUCACUCAGCAGCAACAGCAACAUUUUCCUCGGAAAACUUCGGUGAAUUGACAUAAACUAACUCAUUUUGUACCUGACAUUUCAUGCCUGCAACCAGCAAUGUGGAAUCUUGGUCAACAAAAAUAAUAGACGUCAGUAUAUUAUUUCAAGUAGGCAGCAGUAGCAUCUAGUAAAAAGUGAUUGAAACUAAAAGAAUAUAUUUACAGGAAAAAUCUGUGCUGAGAAACAAAUAAAAUCAAGGAAUUUGAUUUCAUAUCCACCAAGUGAUGGUAACCAAAAUUUGUCAAGCACAAAGUUGUUUCUUCUUGGGCCGUUACAGUAAUCGGGGUGACCACCUUUGUAUUUCAAAACAUUCAAAAACUCUAGCAGUUAGGGUAAUAGGAUCAUAUAUUGAUAGCUUUAAUUAUAAAUGUAAUGCUGAGUGGUCAAUAGAUGCUGAUGGGUCAUUCAUGAUGUCAACAGGUGUUGAGGUGUCAUUCAUGCAAAUGAGAUAUAAGGAGUGUCAUGUGCUCAGAUGUAAAGUGUGAAUUUUACAAUCAAUAAUAUCUCUUACUCUUUUCUCUCUCCUCAUUUCUUCUGCUCUCUCUUUUCUAAAUCUUUUCUCCUUGUUUCUUCCUCUUUCUCUCUCUUUCCCUUGCUUUUGUUCUAUUUUCUCACCUUCCACACUCAGUUAGGCUCUAGAUGACCACUGAGCCUAACAGUUUCAUAUUUUGCAAUAAGGCUGUCACAACACUACUUACUAUUCAUUUUCACAUUCCAUGUAUAUGCUGUACUAGUGUUUGCAUAUCCAUGCCGGUCCAGCUAGUUUGGGCAGCUCCCAUAAUCAUCAGAAUUUAAGGGAAUUCUGUAUUUAGCUAAACAUAACAUCAGAGGGGCAACUAUACAUGAAUAAGCAUUACUGCAUUCCUAAAUGGUCCAGUUAAAAUAUGAGCUGACAGUUAGGACAUGAUAAGUUGGGAAUUAGGGGCCCUCGAUACAGUGGCUUAUGUUUAUUCUGUAAUUUCCCAGCAUCUACCAGAAUUGAAUAAUAAACGAAAUCAGCAUUAUGCAA